rnacentral:misc_RNA from 1 species
UCCGGUUUGUCACCGGCAGUCACCUUAGAGUGCCCAACUCAAUGCUGGCAACUAAGAUCAAGGGUUGCGCUCGUUGCGGGACUUAACCCAACAUCUCACGACACGAGCUGACGACAACCAUGCACCACCUGUCUCUCCUGCCCCGAAGGGAAUACAUGUCUCCACAUACGUCAGGAGGAUGUCAAGUCCUGGUAAGGUCCUUCGCGUUGCUUCGAAUUAAACCACAUGCUCCACUGCUUGUGCGGGCCCCCGUCAAUUCCUUUGAGUUUCAACCUUGCGGUCGUACUCCCCAGGCGGAGUGCUUAAUGUGUUGACUUCAGCACCAAGGGUAUCGAAACCCCUGACACCUAGCACUCAUCGUUUACGGCGUGGACUAC